rnacentral:misc_RNA from 1 species
GUGUACCGAUGAGGGCCUUGAUGCUAAGCCUGAAAUGGUUGUUGAAUUUUGGAGAAAUGUCUUCUCUUAAAAUCGUUCCACAACUUGCUGGUGCAUUGAUGCCAAUCUGUGAAGCCUUUGGUUCAUGUGCACCCAAUGUGAAAUGGAUUGUAAUGUCUGAAGAAAUUUCUUCACAUGCCGUCUUCUCAAAUGCAUUUACUCUUUUGCUGAAGUUGUGGAGGUUUGAUCAGCCGCCUCUUGAGCAUCGUAUGGAUGCUGCUCCAGUGGGAGCCCAUCUAACUCCCGAAUACCUUUUGCUGGUGCGUAAUUCCCAGUUGACAUCCUCUGAUGAUCUGCAGAAAGAUCAAAGCAAAAUCAAGCUGCUGACUAGACUUUCAAGUCCAUUAUCUGGAGAACCCAUAUUUCUCGAUUCUUUUCCAAAAUUAACACUUUGGUACAGGCAACAUCAAGCGUGCAUUGCAUCACCUCUCUCAGGACUUGUCCCU